AGCAGCUGCCCCCGGGCUGCCUGGGAGUCGCUGGGGAGUCCCAGCCUACCCUUGGGCCUAGAGCUCCCUGAUAUGGCAUCCACUCUUCGCAGGGCCAGGGGGCGAGGAAGGAGGAGGGAAGAAAGAGGGAUCUCGGUGGGGAGUGGGAGAGCGUCCUCCAACAACUAACGCUUGGGUCUUCCGCGGGGCAGCCUCGGAGAGGGUGGCGGCAGGGCCCGGAGUCGCCUGGGUCGCAGCGCCAUCUCGUGGCUGCUGGCAGGUCUGCCUUGGGCCCCCUUGCGCACAUAGGAAUCCGGCGUUCUUCCCGUCAGUGGCAGGUGCCCGCCGGCCCGCAGGAUUCACUCACAUGCCCGGUCUCUUUCGACGCUCAUAACGAUCUUGUGAAGUGCAUCAUGAUCUCCAUUAAGAGGUGAGUGACUUGCUUACAGAUACAAAGCUCCGGAAGGCAGAGCAUAGCCUCAGUUGGAAUCCGCUGACCCUGGCUGGGUCCUUUGGAGUACGUCUCAGACACCUCAGCAUGCUCAUGGAGGCCGGCUGGGCUGAUGUCAGUCUGCUUCAGCCGCUGUCUUCUGAGAUUUUCUGUCUUGACUGAAUUCCUGGCCAAGCUCACUCUCUUAACCAGCUCACACUGCUCUGGGGUCAAGUGUGGGUUGGUUUAUCCUUGCCAGGCUCACUGGCUCUCAUUUCUCAUCCACUGAACACUUGGUCCUUUCAGAGCAUGGCUCCCAGCAGAAGAACGAGGCCAUCAGGGCCUGGGGUAGACUAGAGGCUCAUCCUUGACAAUCAGUCCUUACCCAGGCCCUCUAGGUCUCAGGAGGAGUCCCCUUCUCCCCCCUCCUGGGCAUCUGAGGGGCCUCAGUAUCGAGUCACUUGGAGUCGUGGGAGGAGCCGCCAUCCUUCCCUACUCAGCGCCUCCUUUGCCUCUCCUGAGUGGGGUGAAGGAAGGAAAGAGCACUAAACCCAGUGGACUCUGGAAUGUCAGGGUUCUCUCCUCCAGUUUCCUCCUCCAGAGCCCAGAUGGUUUGGGUUUUUAUGGUUGGUGGAAUGAACAUGAACUUAAGAGCAAAACCUGAUUUGAACCAACAUCAGGUCUCUGCCACCAAAAUACCGGGUGGUCAUUAGGAAGUCUCUUAAUUUCUUUGUGUUAGUUUCCUCAUCAGCAAAAAUAGGCACAGGAAGACUUGCCUUUCAAAACUACUGUUUGGCUUGAGUGACAUCUCUGUGUUAAAGUUGCUGGCAGCUAAUGAGCAGUGUCUUAGGUCAUCCAUGCUGCUGUAGCGAAGUACUGGAGACUGGGUGGCUGGGAAGUCCACGAUCAAGGUGCUAACAGAUUCAGUGUCUGGUGGGAACUGCCUUCUUGCUGUGUCCUCAUAUGGCAGAAAGGGUGAGAGGUCCCUCUUGGGCCUGUUUUAU
rnacentral:lncRNA from 13 species